GAGAGUGUGUGCAGGGGAACUGCCCUUUAUAAAACUAUCAGAUAUCAUGGGACUUAUUCACUAUCAUGAAAACAGCAUGAAAAAACAUGACCCCAUGAUUCAAUUACACCUUGCUGGGUCCCUGCUGUGACACAUGGGAUUAUGGGAGCUACAAUUCGAGAUGAGAUUCGGGUGACACAGUUAAACCAUAUCACCCCUAGACCCUUUGACUGCCUGGAAAUGUUCAUGGGAUUAACUGAGUAAAUAGUAAUGGGAGUUUGUAGACUGUGUAAAUGGCACUGUAAGCAUCUUGCAUCAUGGAACUUUGUGCAAUGUGACUGUUUUCCACUCCUCAGCCAGGGUGUCCUUAAUAAAGAAUGACACCCCAAAACAACAAAUUUGGCCAAAUUUUAGGCAGUUGUUUCAGCACCAGUUGCCCUGGUGAACAAAUGAUCCUAUUUUCACAUUAAUUAUCAACUAAUGAGCCAUUACCUAAAAAUUAUAUUCUUCAGAAUUAAAAAACUCUCUAGGAAUCUCUUGCCUCAUAGAUACUCAAACAGCGAUCGAGCUGAUAAUCAAAUCAAGAACUUAACCCUUUUUCCAAUAUCUGCAAAACUAAAAGCAAAACUUAGGUAUACACCUAACCAAGGAGGUAAAAGACCUGUACAAGGAAAAUUACAAAACACUGAUGAAAGAAAUCAUAGAUGACACAAACAAAUGGAAACACAUCCCAUGCUCAUGGGUGGGUAGAAUCAUAUUGUGAAAAUGACCGUACUGCCAAAAGCAAUCUACAAAUUCAAUAUGGUUCCCAUCAAAAUGCCACCAACAUUCUUCACAGAACUAGAAAAAAAAUCCUAAAAUUAACAUGGAACCAAAAAAGAGCCCACAUAGCCAAAGGCAGACUAAGGAAAAAGAACUAAUCUGGAGGCAUCCCAUUACUUGACUUCAAAGCUCUUUUUUGGUUCCAUAUGAAAUUCAAAGUAGUUUUUUCUAAUUCUGUGAAAAAAAUUAAUGGUAGCUUGAUUGGGAUAGCAUUGAAUCUAUAAAUUACUUUGGGUAGUAUGGCCAUUUUUAUGAUAUUGAUUCCUCCUAUCCAUGAGCAUGGAAUGUUUUUCUGUUUGUUUCUGUCCUCUCUUAUUUCCCUGAGCAGUGGUUUGCAG
rnacentral:lncRNA from 10 species